GGCUCAGCUCUUGCUUUGGCAUUGCCAUAGGCAGCCAAUGGCGGCUGCCCUGAUGAACGACAAAGACGUCGC
rfam:Pseudomonadales bacterium RIFCSPLOWO2_02_FTLL_63_210 rifcsplowo2_02_scaffold_382011, whole genome shotgun sequence.